UGGACUUCAGAGUUCAAAGUCCCAGGUUAAAUAUCUGGCUGUUUGACUCACCAGUGAAUUCACUUCGGUCAAGCAGUUUUCAUUACAACAACUUGCACUGGAUAAUCUACUACUUCUCAUCACCACGGAACUCCUGCAGCUACCAAAUAAAAGGAACAGUGGAGCUACUGCGAUGAGGAUGGAGCAAAUGAAGACUUCACAACCCCACCA
rnacentral:lncRNA from 1 species